rnacentral:rRNA from 1 species
AGAGUUUGAUCAUGGCUCAGAAUCAACGCUGGCGGCGCGCUUAACACAUGCAAGUCGAACGAGAAAGGGGAGCAAUCCCUGAGUAAAGUGGCGUACGGGUGAGUAACACGUGGGUAAUCUACCUUUUGGUGGGGAAUAACGCUGGGAAACCGGCGCUAAUACCGCAUAAUCUCGAAAGAGGAAAAGAGAAAUCUGCCGAAAGAGGAGCCCGCGGCUGAUUAGCUAGUUGGUGAGGUAAAGGCUCACCAAGGCAAUGAUCGGUAGCCGGCCUGAGAGGGCACACGGCCACACUGGCGCUGAAACACGGGCCAGACUCCUACGGGAGGCAGCAGUGGGGAAUCUUGCACAAUGGGGGAAACCCUGAUGCAGCGACGCCGCGUGAGUGAUGACGCCCUUCGGGGUGUAAAGCUCUUUCGGCAGGGACGAUAAUGACGGUACCUGAAGAAGAAGCUGCGGCUAACUACGUGCCAGCAGCCGCGGUAAUACGUAGGCAGCGAGCGUUGUUCGGAGUUACUGGGCGUAAAGAGUGCGUAGGCGGUUUUCUAAGUUUGGUGUGAAAUCUCCCGGCUCAACUGGGAGGGUGCGUCGAAGACUGGAAGGCUAGAGUGUGGGAGAGGUAAGCGGAAUUCCUGGUGUAGCGGUGAAAUGCGUAGAUAUCAGGAGGAACACCGGUGGCGAAGGCGGGUCUCUGGGCAACAACUGACGCUGAGGAGCGAAAGCGUGGGGAGCGAACAGGAUUAGAUACCCUAGUAGUCC